CUACAACACCCUACAGGUACACAGGUCUGACUAACACCAGGGACUACAACACCCUACAGGUACACAGGUCUGACUAACACCAGGGACUACAACACCCUACAGGUACACAGGUCUGACUAACACCAGGGACUACAACACCCUGCAGGUACACAGGUCUGACUAACACCAGGGACUACAACACCCUACAGGUACACAGGUCUGACUAACACCAGGGACUACAACACCCUGCAGGUACACAGGUCUGACUAACACCAGGGACUACAACACCCUACAGGUAC